AUCCCGCCUGCGCCUGGGCGGGUGGAGGUGCCCUGCACUGAGUCUUGUGAAAUUUCAUGGACUGCGACACCCAGCAGCGCUGUUUCACAUUGAGUGUUUAGCAAGUUAACGUUUUUAACGUGUGAAGUCAUAAGAUGCAGGACCGGAUGACUGCCCCACCCACAAGGGGUCGAGGAUCUUCCCGAAUUGCACUACUUGUGGGCCAGGUCUGCCAAGCAGCCCUUGUCAAGAUCAAGAAAGGUGAUGAUGAGUUCCUCCCACAAGGAAACAAGAGCAUCAGAGAGACUGGAAAAUAAUCCCCCAGUGCCUUUUAUCAAGUGGCCAGCAGAUGGCAGAAGCAAGCCAGGAACAGAGCUUGUGCACUGUGGCUGUGACAGCUACCUUUGAAAAUCCCAUGGUGUUUGGUGGUCGUAUUAAGAGAUCUCUAGUGUAGGCGCAUCCUGCAUUCUAAGCAGGAUUCUGAACAAACUCAGAACUGGCUUUGUGGCUGGUACCGAGGACCCAGGGGUCACGGCUGCUCCCCACGGGUGCUGAUGCCCAUUGGUUUGUGCAAGUUAGUCCCCUGUAGGGAGGACGGGUGGUCCGUCCCGGGCUUUCUGGUCUGUACACCAAGGCCCAGGGAUGGAAGUGGGGCCGCGUGUCCCCAGCAUUAAACAGGACGUUCUUGAUAAUAAUCCCAUAAGGCUUAAUGUGA